UGGGGAAUAUUGGACAAUGGGCGCAAGCCUGAUCCAGCCAUACCGCGUGGGUGAAGAAGGCCUUCGGGUUGUAAAGCCCUUUUGUUGGGAAAGAAAAGCAGUCGAUUAAUACUCGGUUGUUCUGACGGUACCCAAAGAAUAAGCACCGGCUAACUUCGUGCCAGCAGCCGCGGUAAUACGAAGGGUGCAAGCGUUACUCGGAAUUACUGGGCGUAAAGCGUGCGUAGGUGGUUGUUUAAGUCUGUUGUGAAAGCCCUGGGCUCAACCUGGGAAUUGCAGUGGAUACUGGGCGACUAGAGUGUGGUAGAGGGUAGUGGAAUUCCCGGUGUAGCAGUGAAAUGCGUAGAGAUCGGGAGGAACAUCCAUGGCGAAGGCAGCUACCUGGACCAACACUGACACUGAGGCACGAAAGCGUGGGGAGCAAACAGGAUUAGAUACCCUGGUAGUCCACGCCCUAAACGAUGCGAACUGGAUGUUGGGUGCAAUUUGGCACGCAGUAUCGAAGCUAACGCGUUAAGUUCNACCGCCUGGGGAGUACGGUCGCAAGACUG
rnacentral:rRNA from 1 species